rnacentral:rRNA from 1 species
UACGAAGGGGGCUAGCGUUGCUCGGAAUCACUGGGCGUAAAGCGCACGUAGGCGGCUUUCUAAGUCAGGGGUGAAAUCCUGGAGCUCAACUCCAGAACUGCCUUUGAUACUGGAGAGCUUGAGUCCGGAAGAGGUGAGUGGAACUCCGAGUGUAGAGGUGAAAUUCGUAGAGAUCAGGAAGAACACCCGUGGCGCAAGCGGCCACCUGGCCAAGAGCUGACGCUGAGGCACGAGAGCGUGGGGAGCGAACCGG